rnacentral:rRNA from 1 species
UGCAUGUCUAAGUAUAAGCAAUUAUACGGCGAAACUGCGAAUGGCUCAUUAAAUCAGUUAUUGUUUAUUUGAUAGCACCUUACUACAUGGAUAACCGUGGUAAUUCUAGAGCUAAUACAUGCUAAAAAUCCCGACUUCGGAAGGGAUGUAUUUAUUAGAUUAAAAACCAAUGCCCCUCGGGGCUUUCUGGUGAUUCAUGAUAACUUCUCGAAUCGCACGGCCUUGCGCUGGCGAUGGUUCAUUCAAAUUUCUGCCCUAUCAACUUUCGACGGCUGGGUCUUGGCCAGCCAUGGUGACAACGGGUAACGGAGGGUUAGGGCUCGACCCCGGAGAAGGAGCCUGAGAAACGGCUACUACGUCCAAGGAAGGCAGCAGGCGCGCAAAUUAACCAAUCCCGACUCGGGGAGUUAGUGACAAUACAUACUGAUACAGGGCUCUUUUGGGUCUUGUAAUCGGAAUGAGUACAAUUUAAACCCCUUAACGAGGAACAAUUGGAGGGCAAGUCUGGUGCCAGCAGCCGCGGUAAUUCCAGCUCCAAUAGCGUAUAUUAAAGUUGUUGCAGUUAAAAAGCUCGUAGUUGAACCUUGGGCCUGGCUGGCCGGUCCGCCUCACCGCGUGCACUGGUCCGGCCGGGCCUUUCCCUCUGGGGAACCUCAUGCCCUUCACUGGGUGUGCUGGGGAACCAGGACUUUUACUUUGAACAAAUCAGAUCGCUUAAAGAAGGCCUAUGCUCGAAUAUAUUAGCAUGGAAUAAUAGAAUAGGACGUGUGGUUCUAUUUUGUUGGUUUCUAGGACCGCCGUAAUGAUUAAUAGGGACAGUCGGGGGCAUCAGUAUUCAAUUGUCAGAGGUGAAAUUCUUGGAUUUAUUGAAGACUAACUACUGCGAAAGCAUUUGCCAAGGAUGUUUUCAUUAAUCAGGAACGAAAGUUAGGGGAUCGAAGACGAUCAGAUACCGUCGUAGUCUUAACCAUAAACUAUGCCGACUAGGGAUCGGACGAUGUUAUUCAUUGACUCGUUCGGCACCUUACACGAAAGUAAAGUUUUUGGGUUCUGGGGGGAGUAUGGUCGCAAGGCUGAAACUUAAAGAAAUUGACGGAAGGGCACCACCAGGGGUGGAGCCUGCGGCUUAAUUUGACUCAACACGGGGAAACUCACCAGGUCCAGACACAAGUAGGAUUGACAGAUUGAGAGCUCUUUCUUGAUUUUGUGGGUGGUGGUGCAUGGCCGUUCUUAGUUGGUGGAGUGAUUUGUCUGCUUAAUUGCGAUAACGAACGAGACCUUAACCUGCUAAAUAGCCCGCGUUGCCUUGGCAGCGCGCUGGCUUCUUAGAGGGACUAUCGGCUCAAGCCGAUGGAAGUUUGAGGCAAUAACAGGUCUGGAAUGCA